UACGUAGGGACCAAGCGUUGUUCGGAUUUACUGGGCGUAAAGGGCGCGUAGGCGGCAAUUCAAGUCAUCUGUGAAAUCUCCGGGCUUAACCCGGAACGGUCAGGUGAUACUGUUUUGCUAGAGUGCGGAAGGGGCAAUCGGAAUUCCUGGUGUAGCGGUGAAAUGCGCAGAUAUCAGGAGGAACACCGGUGGCGAAGGCGGGUCUCUGGGCCGAUACUGACGCUGAGGAGCGAAAGCGUGGGGAGCGAACAGG
rnacentral:rRNA from 1 species